UGUCAGAAGUGGGAUUCGAAACCACGCCGCAAGAGUUGACUGCGACCUGAACGCAGCGCCUUAGACCGCUCGGACAUCCUGAA